rnacentral:rRNA from 1 species
UACGUAGGGUGCAAGCGUUAAUCGGAAUUACUGGGCGUAAAGCGUGCGCAGGCGGUUUUGUAAGUCUGUCGUGAAAUCCCCGGGCUUAACCUGGGAAUGGCGAUGGAGACUGCAAGGCUAGAGUUUGGCAGAGGGGGGUAGAAUUCCACGUGUAGCAGUGAAAUGCGUAGAGAUGUGGAGGAACACCGAUGGCGAAGGCGAUCACCUGGGGUUGUUCUGACGCUGAGGAGCGAAAGCUAGGGGAGCAAACGGG